UUAAGCGACUAAGCGUACACGGUGGAUGCCCUGGCAGUCAGAGGCGAUGAAGGACGUGCUAAUCUGCGAUAAGCGUCGGUGAGGUGAUAUGAACCGUUAUAACCGGCGAUUUCCGAAUGGGGAAACCCAGUGUGUUUCGUCACACUAUCAUUAACUGAAUCCAUAGGUUAAUGAGGCGAACCGGGGGAACUGAAACAUCUAAGUACCCCGAGGAAAAGAAAUCAACCGAGAUUCCCCCAGUAGCGGCGAGCGAACGGGGAGGAGCCCAGAGCCUGAAUCAGUGUGUGUGUUAGUGGAAGCGUCUGGAAAGGCGCGCGAUACAGGGUGACAGCCCCGUACACAAAAAUGCACAUAUUGUGAGCUCGAUGAGUAGGGCGGGACACGUGGUAUCCUGUCUGAAUAUGGGGGGACCAUCCUCCAAGGCUAAAUACUCCUGACUGACCGAUAGUGAACCAGUACCGUGAGGGAAAGGCGAAAAGAACCCCGGCGAGGGGAGUGAAAAAGAACCUGAAACCGUGUACGUACAAGCAGUGGGAGCCUCUUAAUGGGGUGACUGCGUACCUUUUGUAUAAUGGGUCAGCGACUUAUAUUCUGUAGCAAGGUUAACCGAAUAGGGGAGCCGAAGGGAAACCGAGUCUUAACUGGGCGUUAAGUUGCAGGGUAUAGACCCGAAACCCGGUGAUCUAGCCAUGGGCAGGUUGAAGGUUGGGUAACACUAACUGGAGGACCGAACCGACUAAUGUUGAAAAAUUAGCGGAUGACUUGUGGCUGGGGGUGAAAGGCCAAUCAAACCGGGAGAUAGCUGGUUCUCCCCGAAAGCUAUUUAGGUAGCGCCUCGUGAAUUCAUCUCCGGGGGUAGAGCACUGUUUCGGCAAGGGGGUCAUCCCGACUUACCAACCCGAUGCAAACUGCGAAUACCGGAGAAUGUUAUCACGGGAGACACACGGCGGGUGCUAACGUCCGUCGUGAAGAGGGAAACAACCCAGACCGCCAGCUAAGGUCCCAAAGUCAUGGUUAAGUGGGAAACGAUGUGGGAAGGCCCAGACAGCCAGGAUGUUGGCUUAGAAGCAGCCAUCAUUUAAAGAAAGCGUAAUAGCUCACUGGUCGAGUCGGCCUGCGCGGAAGAUGUAACGGGGCUAAACCAUGCACCGAAGCUGCGGCAGCGACACUAUGUGUUGUUGGGUAGGGGAGCGUUCUGUAAGCCUGUGAAGGUGUCCUGUGAGGUUUGCUGGAGGUAUCAGAAGUGCGAAUGCUGACAUAAGUAACGAUAAAGCGGGUGAAAAGCCCGCUCGCCGGAAGACCAAGGGUUCCUGUCCAACGUUAAUCGGGGCAGGGUGAGUCGACCCCUAAGGCGAGGCCGAAAGGCGUAGUCGAUGGGAAACAGGUUAAUAUUCCUGUACUUGGUGUUACUGCGAAGGGGGGACGGAGAAGGCUAUGUUGGCCGGGCGACGGUUGUCCCGGUUUAAGCGUGUAGGCUGGUUUUCCAGGCAAAUCCGGAAAAUCAAGGCUGAGGCGUGAUGACGAGGCACUACGGUGCUGAAGCGACAAAUGCCCUGCUUCCAGGAAAAGCCUCUAAGCAUCAGGUAACAUCAAAUCGUACCCCAAACCGACACAGGUGGUCAGGUAGAGAAUACCAAGGCGCUUGAGAGAACUCGGGUGAAGGAACUAGGCAAAAUGGUGCCGUAACUUCGGGAGAAGGCACGCUGAUAUGUAGGUGAAGCGACUUGCUCGUGGAGCUGAAAUCAGUCGAAGAUACCAGCUGGCUGCAACUGUUUAUUAAAAACACAGCACUGUGCAAACACGAAAGUGGACGUAUACGGUGUGACGCCUGCCCGGUGCCGGAAGGUUAAUUGAUGGGGUUAGCGGUAACGCGAAGCUCUUGAUCGAAGCCCCGGUAAACGGCGGCCGUAACUAUAACGGUCCUAAGGUAGCGAAAUUCCUUGUCGGGUAAGUUCCGACCUGCACGAAUGGCGUAAUGAUGGCCAGGCUGUCUCCACCCGAGACUCAGUGAAAUUGAACUCGCUGUGAAGAUGCAGUGUACCCGCGGCAAGACGGAAAGACCCCGUGAACCUUUACUAUAGCUUGACACUGAACAUUGAGCCUUGAUGUGUAGGAUAGGUGGGAGGCUUUGAAGUGUGGACGCCAGUCUGCAUGGAGCCGACCUUGAAAUACCACCCUUUAAUGUUUGAUGUUCUAACGUGGGCCCCUUACCGGGGUUGCGGACAGUGUCUGGUGGGUAGUUUGACUGGGGCGGUCUCCUCCUAAAGAGUAACGGAGGAGCACGAAGGUUGGCUAAUCCUGGUCGGACAUCAGGAGGUUAGUGCAAUGGCAUAAGCCAGCUUGACUGCGAGCGUGACGGCGCGAGCAGGUGCGAAAGCAGGUCAUAGUGAUCCGGUGGUUCUGAAUGGAAGGGCCAUCGCUCAACGGAUAAAAGGUACUCCGGGGAUAACAGGCUGAUACCGCCCAAGAGUUCAUAUCGACGGCGGUGUUUGGCACCUCGAUGUCGGCUCAUCACAUCCUGGGGCUGAAGUAGGUCCCAAGGGUAUGGCUGUUCGCCAUUUAAAGUGGUACGCGAGCUGGGUUUAGAACGUCGUGAGACAGUUCGGUCCCUAUCUGCCGUGGGCGCUGGAGAACUGAGGGGGGCUGCUCCUAGUACGAGAGGACCGGAGUGGACGCAUCACUGGUGUUCGGGUUGUCAUGCCAAUGGCACUGCCCGGUAGCUAAAUGCGGAAGAGAUAAGUGCUGAAAGCAUCUAAGCACGAAACUUGCCCCGAGAUGAGUUCUCCCUGACUCCUUGAGAGUCCUGAAGGAACGUUGAAGACGACGACGUUGAUAGGCCGGGUGUGUAAGCGCAGCGAUGCGUUGAGCUAACCGGUACUAAUGAACCGUGAGGCUUAACCUU
rnacentral:rRNA from 1 species